UACGGGGGGGGGCAAGCGUUGUUCGGAAUUACUGGGCGUAAAGGGCUCGUAGGCGGCCAAUUAAGUCAGACGUGAAAUCCCUCGGCUUAACCGGGGAACUGCGUCUGAUACUGGAUGGCUUGAAUCCGGGAGAGGGAUGCGGAAUUCCAGGUGUAGCGGUGAAAUGCGUAGAUAUCUGGAGGAACACCGGUGGCGAAGGCGGCAUCCUGGACCGGCAUUGACGCUGAGGAGCGAAAGCCAGGGGAGCAAAGCGGG
rnacentral:rRNA from 1 species